ACGGCUCAGUAACACGUGGCUAACCUGCCCUUGGGACGGGACCAACCCCGGGAAACUGGGGCUAAUCCCCGAUAGGUGAAGAACUCUGGAAUGAGUCUUUGCCUAAAUGGCGUGUAGAUCAUGCUUCUAUGCGUUGCCCAAGGAUGGGGCCGCGACCGAUCAGGUUGUUGGUGAGGUAAUGGCCCACCAAGCCUAUAACCGGUGCGGGCCGUGAGAGCGGGAGCCCGGAGAUGGGCACUGAGACAAGGGCCCAGGUCCUACGGGGCGCAGCAGUCGCGAAAACUUUGCAAUACACGAAAGUGUGACAGGGCUAUCCCGAGUGCCAUCCGCUGAGGAAGGCUUUUACCCAGUCUAGAACGCUGGGGGAAUAAGGAGAGGGCAAGUCUGGUGUCAGCCGCCGCGGUAAUACCAGCACCCCGAGUGGUCGGGACGUUUAUUGGGCCUAAAGCAUCCGUAGCCGGUUCUACAAGUCUUCCGUUAAAUCCACCUGCUUAACAGAUGGGCUGCGGAAGAUACUAUAGAGCUAGGAGGCGGGAGAGGCAAGCGGCACUCGAUGGGUAGGGGUAAAAUCCGUUGAUCCAUUGAAGACCACCAGUGGCGAAGGCGGCUUGCCAGAACGCGCUCGACGGUGAGGGAUGAAAGCUGGGGGAGCAAACCGGAUUAGAUACCCGGGUAGUCCCAGCUGUAAACGAUGCAGACUCGGUGAUGAGUUGGCUUUUUGCUAACUCAGUGCCGCAGGGAAGCCGUUAAGUUUGCCGCCUGGGGAGUACGGUCGCAAGACUGAAACUUAAAGGAAUUGGCGGGGGGAG
rnacentral:rRNA from 1 species